GAUUAUAAAAUCAUCAUACUAAACUUGAAGUCUUCACUACUUCAUUCUUGAAAUCUGUAAAAGAAAUUGGAGAAAUUAAGGACUUGGAAAAGAGGCUGUUUUGUGCCUAUAAUUCUAAGGCUAUCAGGGAAAAUAACUUGGAACGAGAAGGUUGACUAGCACAUCCAUUUGAUUAUUAAUUUUAUGGGGCGGGAAGGCCAACAAAUAUAACCUCAUGAAAUAGUCGCUCAAUAUGGCUCGGAAACUACAAUAAAAAUAAUAUGUGUAAUCUUGGCACCCCAAAUAACAGUAGAGGAAAAUUCGAGGGCUCUCCCUUAAACUUAAUCCGUCUUAUUCAAUCUAUCAAAUGGUAUAUGUAACUUUACAUCGCCGCUCUCCUUGAGAUAUUACCCCAUGGACGACCUAAAUACGUUGUAACAUUUGCCCCAACUAUGGAGUUGCUUUUAUGGUGCAAUUUGUAGCACCUUUACCUGAAGAGAGAGCCUGAGGAAAGAUCAACUUGAAUGGUUCUAAAAGCUGCACCAUACAAGCAAGUCUAUAGUUGGGGAAAGUGAGUAAGAAUGUUAGCGACAUAUUUAGGUCGACAAGGGGUAAUUCUCUUGGACAAUGGCAAUGUUGAGUUACAUUGACUAUCUGAUAGAUUGAAAAGAAUGUAUUUAGUUUAAUGGAGAGUCCUAAGUAAGUUCCUUGAAUUCUGAUAUUUUUUUUGAUAUUGUUGUUUAGGGCUGCCGAGAUUGCACCUGUUAUUGAGUUGAAGUUUCCCGAGCCAUCUUGUGCUACUAUGGCAGGAGGUGCUUGUGUUUGUUGGCAUUCUCCACAGCAUAAAAUUGUUAACCAAAUGACAGAGUAAUUAAAGACUUCCAGCUCGGGAAAGGAGGGGAACUUCUGUGACCUGAACUUAGGAAGGAAGAAGAAGGAAAAUCAGAGAUCAUUAUUAGUGAUUGCUAAAGGUGAAGCUAUUAUGAUACACUUAUAAAAAAUCAUUUUAGUUUGAAAAGACUACUCUCAUGAAUGGGCUCCAAUGCAAAUGUUGCGCCAACAUACCCCAAUGUGGCAUCACUAUUGCUUCCAAGG